rnacentral:misc_RNA from 1 species
UUUCAUUGUAAGAGCAGGAUAUAUAAAUGAGGUGUUUUUCUUUUAUCAUUUGUACUGCAUAAGCAUUUAGCAUAUAUCACCAUCUAAAAGCAUGAAAACGUAUUAAAGUGUUUGUUUAAAAAGGUCAAAAAUUUCUUACUAACUUCUUUGGCAAUGUAGCCCUCAUCAAAGAGACUCUCUCUGAACGAACUAUACAAUUUGAUGUCAUUUCCAGAUAAAUGAAAAUCCAAAAAAAAAAAAAAUUUGGGCAUAAUAAUACUUUAAAGUUCUUUCAAAAGUCAACCAGCAUCGAAAUUGGAAUACACAAACACAACCCUCACAACCAAGAUCAGAUAACACAAAAAUACUCACAAUUAUAUGCAAAUUAAAAUUAAAAAUUGAAAAUAUGAAUGAAAGUGUAACUGAUCAUAUCAACAAACAGAAUUAAUUAUCCAAGAUAAAAUAUAAAAAAAACAAAACAAAUCCGAAUAUGAUAUAUAAUUACAUAAUCUCUCAAAA